rnacentral:rRNA from 1 species
AAAACUUUUCGCUAAUAGAAGAGCCUAUGUAGGAUUAGGUAGUUGGUAUUUUGGGUAAAAGCCUACCAAGCCUAAGAUCCUUAGCUGUUCUGAGAGGUUGAACAGCCACACUGGGACUGAGACAAGGCCCAGGCUCCAUUUGGAGCCAGCAGUGAGGAAUUUUGGACAAUGAGCGAAAGCUUGAUCCAGCAAUACUACAUGAGUGAAGAAGGCUUUCAAGUUGUAACACUCUUUGGUUGAGGAGGAUAAUGACAGUACUCAACAAAAUAGCCCCGGCUAACUUCGUGCCAGCAGCCGCGGUAAGACGAAGGGGGCGAGCGUUAUCCGGAAUGACUGGGCGUAAAGGGUCCGUAGGCAGCAUUUUUUGUUGGAAGUUAAAUAAAAAAGCUUAACUUUUUUCCGCUUCUAAAACGUAAAUGCUUUGAGUUUGAUAGAAGAUAGCAGAAUUUCACAAGGAGGGGUGAUAUCCAGAGAUCUGUGAAGGAAUAUCAGAUGCGAAGGCGGCUAUCUAGAUCAACACUGACGUUGAGGGACGAAAGCAUGGGGAGCAAACAGGAUUAGAUACCCUGGUAGUCCAUGCCCUAAAAGAUGAGUGUUCGUGCUUAGAGAACUUUAGGCACUUAGUUAACACGUUAAACACUCCGCCUGGGGAGUACGAUCGCAAGGUUGGAACUCAAAGGAAUUGACGGGGGCCUAUACAAGUGGUGGAGCAUGUGGUUUAAUGCGAUAAUACGCGCGAAACCUUACCAGUUCUUGACAUAAAAAAGAAAAAGUUUGAAAAAGCAAUUUUAAAGAUUUUUACAGGUGCUGCAUGGCUGUCGUAAGCUCGUGUCGUGAGAUGUUAGGUUAACUCCUUUUAACGGGCGAAACCCCUUUUUUUCGUUGC